GUGAGGAAUAUUGGACAAUGGGCGCAAGCCUGAUCCAGCCAUGCCGCGUGCAGGAAGACGCAUCUAUGGUGUGUAAACUGCUUUUGUACGGGAAGAAACACUCCCUCGUGAGGGAGCUUGACGGUACCGUAAGAAUAAGGAUCGGCUAACUCCGUGCCAGCAGCCGCGGUAAUACGGAGGAUCCAAGCGUUAUCCGGAAUCAUUGGGUUUAAAGGGUCCGUAGGCGGUUUAAUAAGUCCGUGGUGAAAGCCAAUCGCUCAACGAUGGAACGGCCAUUGAUACUGUUAGACUUGAAUUACAAGGAAGUAACUAGAAUAUGUAGUGUAGCGGUGAAAUGCUUAGAUAUUACAGGGAAUACCAAUUGCGAAGGCAGGUUACUACUUGUGGAUUGACGCUGAUGGACGAAAGCGUGGGGAGCGAACAGGAUUAGAUACCCCUGUAGUCC
rnacentral:rRNA from 1 species